GCAUAUCAAUAAGCGGAGGAAAAGAAACUAACAAGGAUUCCCCUAGUAACGGCGAGUGAAGAGGGAAAAGCUCAAAUUUUAAAUCUGCCUUGUUUCAAGGUCGAGUUGUAAUUUGAAGAAGCGUUUUCUUGGGCACGCGACCGGUAGAAGUUCUUUGGAACAGGACAUCAUAGAGGGUGACAAUCCCGUCUGCGACCGGUCGUGCGUUCAUCUACGAUACGCUUUCAAAGAGUCGAGUUGUCUGGGAUUGCAGCUCCAAAUGGGUGGUAAACAUCACCUAAGGCUAAAUAUUGGCGAGAGACCGAUAGCGAACAAGUACCGUGAGGGAAAGAUGAAAAGAACUUUGAAAAGAGAGUUAAACAGUACGUGAAAUUGUUGAAAGGGAAACGAUUGAAGUCAGUCGUGCUGGCGCGAAAUCAACCCUCUCGUCGAGAGGUCACAUGGCGUGGCGAGCCUCAAAACCGUCACGAAGCGUGAACUCUUGGCGAAAAGGAGCACUUUCGUGUCCGCUGGUUAACAUCAAUUUCGAACGUCAUAAAAAGGCUGGAGGGAUGUGGCUCCUUCGGGAGUGUUAUAACCUUUAGCGGAAUGUGGUGGUCGGGAUUGAGGAUUGCAACGAAUACCUUUAGGGCUGUUCCACCUGGCUUCUCUUUGGUAUCCUGGUGACGACAGCUUGCUGACGUUGUUAGGAUUCGCCUUUGAACAGGCUAGAGUGUGAGCAAAUUCGUUAAGGAUGUUGACGUAAUGGCUUUAAACGAC
rnacentral:rRNA from 1 species